rnacentral:lncRNA from 1 species
UGUCUUGCUUUUCCUACUUGAUUUUUUAAAAUACUUUCUCGACCUUUUUCACGAUUGUACGUAGGUAUACACGUACACAUGAAAGCACGUACACGCCGGCUUACACCAUGCUUCCGCGCCACGCUGCUUGAUCACAGCAUUGUCUACGAUUUCAAAAUCGUAUUUAUAUAAGUCGAUGGAAGUUCGUGAAUAUUCUUUUAAUUAGAUUUUCGUGUUUUCGAAUUUUAUGAAAAUCGUUCGUAUUUUAUAUCUUAGAGUAAUGAAUUUGUAUUCUAUUCGCAAUAUCAUAUUCUCGAGGACAGACGGGUGGGCGGGCAGUUGAGUGUCGUUUCAACCGAUUGACGGCAUGGAAGAGAAUAGGAUGCCGGCCGGCAUUUUCAUUAGAAUUGAUAUUUUUAUAAUAUUAAGAAACUUAUUUGCUUCUAUAUUUUUUCUUUAAAUGAUAAAAAAUUGUCUAAUUGUGAUGUUUUCUCGAUUCAAGCUAAGGGACGCCAUCGUAUUUCGCGUGGCUGCCACGAGCACGAUGGUUUAGUUGAUCACCCUUAUUGUUAGUACCAUUUAUAAUUAUCGAUCUAAUUAAAAUCAGAUUCAAUAUUCUUAUGUUUUUAUUUUGUGAAUGCAAAAUUCGGGCGGGAUCUCAAUUACUAACGCCAUGUGCUUAUUUCAUAUAUUUUCAUAUUGUGCAUUCUCGAAGCGUUCUGUAACUCCGUACAAUUUUGUGAAAAUUUUGUUGAAAGCGUAGUUUAUAUUACUUGGCAUUCUUUCUACAAAAUGGACGCCAUUUUUUUUAUCUAGAAUAUCAGUGUUAUAGAUAGGAAAAGCGAGCAUCCCGCGCAUUUUUCCGACCGCCGUUGCUGCCGCCACCACUACCGCUGUGGGUUUCCAUUAUGGCGCCCGAAACCAAGCCCGCGUUCGUUGUGCUUUCUCGCUUACUCCUUCUAUCUUCUCCUUCCCUCUCCUCUUUUUGUCUCUCUCUCUCUCUCUCUCUCUCUCUCUGUCGUAAUUGAUCGAUAAUUCGUUGUAAGAGGGUUAAUCGUGUCUGACGGACGAUCGAUAGACACACAUAUCUCUUUCAGGUCGACGUGUUGCUCUGAAAUUGUUUACCGAUCUGCGUGCAUAAACACCGCGCUGAAGGCUUCCUUUCUCGCUUUGCUUCUCUCUCUAUCCCUCUUUCUCCUUUUCAUUCUCAGUCUCUCUCUUCCCCUCUACCUUCAACUCUGUUGGUGCUCUCUUCUCUCUUUCCAUCAAAAACCCCACGCGCGCAGCCAGCAGUAACGCCAUGUAUUAUAUACCCAUGUCUCUCCUGCCUCCCUGUUCUUUCGUAGUAUACCGCGUAGUGUUACGAACCUUCGAGAAAACAUCGUUGCGAUUUUUCAUCUUAAAUCGGACCGUCAUUCGGCGUUGUGAUAGGAGCUGCUUAUUUUUAGUCGAUAAUACAUUAUACGUCUGUUACUAUGGAAAUUACAAGGUGAAAUUCGUGAUCAAAAAUGCCGAUUAUCCACGUUUUCAGUUUAUAUUAUAUAGAAAGUCGUGGAGGCGUCUUCGCGCAACAGCAAUAGUAUGUCACGUGGAAAUUCUGCAAGUUUUCUAUGCUGCUUUCCUCGUACCGCCGAUAGACACAGCGCGUGUAUGCCAUUAUGGCAAUCUACCCUGGUCACGAGUAAAGCUGUAUGAACACGAGUUAAGG